UACGAAGGGGGGCUAGCGUUGCUCGGAUUGACUGGGCGUAAAGGGCGCGUAGGCGGUUCGUACAGUCAGACGUGAAAUUCCUGGGCUCAACCUGGGGGCUGCGUUUGAUACGUGCGGACUUGAGUGCGGAAGAGGGUCGUGGAAUUCCCAGUGUAGAGGUGAAAUUCGUAGAUAUUGGAAGAACACCGGUGGCGAAGGCGGCGACCUGGUCCGAUACUGACGCUGAGGCGCGAAAGCGUGGGGAGCAAACAGG
rnacentral:rRNA from 1 species